rnacentral:rRNA from 1 species
AUUGAACGCUGGCGGCAGGCCUAACACAUGCAAGUCGAGCGAGCGGCGGACGGGUGAGUAAUGUCUGGGAAACUUCCUUAUGGAGGUGGAUAACUACUGGAAACGCUAGCUAAUACCGCAUACUACCAGACCUGCCCAGAUGGGAUUAGCUAGUGUGUGGGGUAAUGGCUCACCCAGGCUACGAUCCAUAGCUGGUCUGAGAGGAUGACCAGCCACACUGGAACUGAGACACGGUCCAGACUCCUACGGGAGGCAGCAGUGGGGAAUAUUGCACAAUGGGCGAAAGCCUGAUGCAGCAAUGCCGCGUGUGUGAAGAAGGCCUUCGGGUUGUAAAGCACUUUCAGCGGGGAGGCGUUACCCGCAGAAGAAGCACCGGCUAACUCCGUGCCAGCAGCCGCGGUAAUUC